UUAAAUUAACUUGACAUCAAUAAAGCGGACGGACGGAAAAAAAAAUUGCUGAAUAAACAAUUAAAUUAAAGAUGCUGCACCGACGUCAAACUCGCAUCGGCCGCUUCGUUUGAGAGCACGGACCAUAACAGACGUGGACCAGCGACAUAAUGUGCCCAGGGCAGAUGAACUGGUAAGUGUCAAAUAAAUAAUACGCCACGGCCAAAAAAACUUCAAGGCUGAAUCCAAAAAUUAUGUGCCUCCUAAAACUAAAGCUAAGUAUCCUUAACUAUCAAUUCAAAAGAAAAUCCAAAUCCUAAUUCAUUUUUCUCUUAUCCUAUAGCUUCCUACACUACUGGCUUAUACCUAUGGACCUUGGGCCAAUGUAAUGGAAUUCAACUUAUAGCUAAAACGGCAAGUCACUGAUCUCAAUUUUUAUUAACUUUUUAUCGGAGGAGACCUCCGUAGCGCAGAGGCCUACAUGGCCGCUUAUGACGCUAAGCGCCUGGAUUCGUAUCCUGGCGAGACCACCAGAAAAAUUUUUCCGCGGUGGUUUUCCCCUCCUAAUGCUGUCAACAUUUGUGAGGUACUAUUCCAUGUAAAACUUCUCUCGAAAAGAAAAGAAGAAAAGCCUCUUAUCAUCGAGUUUAAACUUAAAUCGGACUACACUCACUGAUAUGUGAGAAGUCUGCCCCCAUUCCUUAGUGGAAUGUUCAUGGGUAAAAUUUGCAAUUUGCUUUAUCGGACACAUUGGUAGCUAGAAGAUAUUUACUAUUUUAGGUCCUUAGUAUGGUAAACGCCCAAUGAUUUCCCUUUUAGAUCUUCAAUCUCAUAUAAGCACUUUCCGACUGCUUUAACUAUUCGACACUUUAUGUAUUUCUUGUUGAGUUUUGCGUUGAUAUUUCUACCGAAGUCGAUCAAUUGAUGGUUACGUCGAUAAACCUCUUCACCUGGGAAAAACCUGACUCUUCGGGCACGAAUGUUGUAUUUGCUAGCCCUAUCGCGGUAACUCUUCUGUAACCUUUUUCUGACCUCUUCCCUCACUAAUUCCAAAUGUUUCGAUUUUGGUAAAGCACUAAACUCUGAGUCUUUCAACGAGUCUAAUUUUCUAGCCAGUCUAUAAACGCUGCCGUGCGUAAUCAUACUGGUUCCAAAAAGAGCAAAAUAAGGUGUUAUGCCUAUUAAAGAAUGCACCGAUGACCGCAAUGCGCACUUGAUUGCAGACAAGUUUUGGUCCCAAUCCCUUUGAUCCUCCUGCAAGUUUGAACGAAUGGCCGCCAAUAUAGAUUGAUUAACGCGUUCUGAUGCGUUAGCUUGAGGUGAAUAGAGUCCCGUUUUCAUAUGGCCUACACCGUAAGCCUUUAUAAACGCCGCGAAAUCUUUCCCAGUAAAUUGUUUCCCCUUGUCGGAUAAAAUCGUUUCGGGCACACCAAAUUUGUGGAAAACUUCUUGCUCAAGAAAUGUAAUAACAUUUCGAGCGGUUACCUUUCCCAUUGGUUUCAAUAAAACAUAUUUGGUCAGGUGGUCUAAGACAAUAAAAAUGUAGCAGUUUCUGAAAAGGACGACUGAUUUCUACCAUUGCCCCCAUCGGCUGACGCAUUGGAUGAUUAUUCGGCAUAGCCUCUUUGCACACUUGGCACUUCUAAACGAAAAGUCUGACCUGAGCACUCAUAUUAGGCCAGUAGUAAUAUUCUUUCAACCUAAACAGUGUCUUGUGGAAACCGCCGUGCGCUGCUAUGCUGGGACAAUGAGCUUUCUAUAUAGCAGAUGCCGUGAGCGAUUCCGGUACCCAUAGUUUCCAUACUGAAUCCUCGUAAGGAAGGUCCACCGUCACUGGUAUUGUCCGUUUGUAGAGAUGGCCAUCAAUGACUCUUAAGUCUGGCAAAUUCUUCUGGUUAGCCUCCACGGCUUUGAUCUUCUCAAGGUACUCCUCUUCCUUGAACUCAGCCGCAUUGAGGUCUACUAGACUAAAGGAUGGCAAAUCCAAUUCAUCAAGAUUAUAUCGCGAAAGCUCGUCAGGUACCACGUUUUGACUACCCCGGCGGUGUUCUAUUUCGAAGUUGUGCCCCUGCAGUAAAAGACUCCAUCUUGCCAGACGACCGCUCAGCUCUUUGUUGCUCAUCAACCACUUAAGUGAUGAAUGAUCUGUGAUGACCGUAAACGGCAUCAGCUCUAUAUAAGGGCGAAACUUUUUUAUUGCCAUCACCACGGCUAGGCACUCCCUUUCAGUGACGGAGUAAUUUUUCUGCGCUGGGGACAACUUCUGCGACAUGAACGCUAUCGGAUGCUCGCCUCCUUCAUCGUAUUUUUGAAACAGGACACCACCAAUACCAACGUCGGAUGCAUCACACUGGAUGUAAAAAUGUUUCCGGAAAUCGGGGUGUCUUAAGACUGGACUACGGGUUAAAGCCUCCUUUAGCCGUUCGAACCCUAUUUUGGCUUCAUCACCAAACUCUAAACCACGCCCUUUCUUUAAUGUUGCGAAAAUUGGUGCUGCGACCAGCCUGUCAUACCUGUGAAACGCCUAACUUGUUUGACAUUCUUUAGGUAUUCGUGCCCACCUAUCGCAGAAACCUUGUCAGGAUCAGGCUUUACUCUUCCCUCGCCAACUAUAUACCCGAGGUAUCGUAGCUUUUUAAAACAGAAAUUUGACUUUGCCACGUUAAUUGUUAGACCAGCCGCGUUUAAGGCCUUUACCACUUGUCUCAAAAUGUCGAGAUGUGUUUCAAAAUCUGGGGCCACUAUGAGCAGGUCAUCCAAAUAAACAAACACUCUUUCACGGAGAUGCGCAGGAAUCAACUUAUCCAUUAACCGGCACAUCCUUUGGGCUGCGUUACACAACCCAAAGGGCAUUACGGUGAACUGGUAUAGGGAUCUUCCUGGUACAGUAAAGGCCGUUUUCUCCCUGCUCUUCAUCUCGAGUGGUAUCUGCCAGAAAGCAUCUUUCAGAUCCACACUCGAUAUGAAAUGCAUAUCCCCUAGCUGGCUGAGACGGCCCUCAAUGUUUGGGAGCGGAUAGGCAUCCUUGACAGUAAUGGAAUUGAGCUUUCGAGCAUCCAGGCAUAAUCUAUUUUUUGUGCCUUUCCGGACUAAUGUCACUGGGUUAUUCCAGGGGCUCUCACUGGGCUCAAUGACCCUCAUGUCAAGCAUCCUAUCCAGCUCUGCAUACAUUAGGCUUUGGACUACUGGAGAUACAGGGUAAUGACGUUGCUUUACAGGUAUUGCAUCUGCCGUGUCAAUAGUGUGUGUCUCUAUGGAUGUGCUGCCCAAUCCCCUUAUCUCGAAAGACGGAAACUGAGAUAUGACCUCGUCUAAUCUCCCCCUCUGAUCACUGUUCAAUUGAUGCUUGAAUGGGUCAAUAGGGUCGUCUUCUGCCUCCUCCUCCAACGACAAACUUUCAACACUGGCUAUCAAUUUAUAACGUUUCAUGAAAUCGACCCCAAGGUAUAGUGCUUUUCUUAAAGUGGGGACUAAGAAAAAGGUCACCUCACUUUCCAUUUUACCAAGUUUCACUGGGGCCCGAAUACGUCCUACAACCUUGUGCGGUGUCCCGUCUGCUGUGCCGACUUGUCCCGAAAACUUAAAAAUUGGUAUCUGCGCCAUUUCAACUAACUCUAGACAGCCUUUGCCUAAAACGGUGACUGUUGCGCCACUAUCUAACAACCCCCCUACCUCUUCAUUUCCAAUUUUCACUCGCAAGUAGAGACGAGUGUCUUCGCCUUCAUAUAAGAUAGAUAAGGCUAUCUCCUGCCUGAGUUUCCUUCUAGACCUAUACCGCUCUCUAGCUCGUUUGAUUCGCAGAUGUCUCUACCGAUUGUUUAGAGUCUGUUUUGACUCAGCAGAGAUUAGCUGACUUACCUUACCUAUAUCUAAAACCUUAUUUAAUACACUAUUAUCAUACAAUUCAUUCUUCUCAUUAUAUUUGUUUAAUUCAUUAACUUCACUUACUUCACUAAAUAUCCUAGCUCUAACUUGAUUAUCCUCCUGCACUCUUACGUGCCAAGGCCUUAUCUCUUUAAGUUUAAAUUCAUUCCGUUUACCACUACUACUAACACUAUUUUUCUUUAAAACUACUUCAGGUUCCAUUUGCAACUAUUCUUAUUUGGGGUUUGUUUGUGCCGGACGUGUUGUCCCCUUUACCGAGCCCGUCUGGAUGUUUCCCUUACACUUGGGACAAUUUGGCUUGACAACGUUCUCCAAACCACAACCAUAACAGAACAGAUUUCGUGUUGUCGAAGGGCUGUCCAUGAAUCCGUGUCCUCUUUCUUUGCAAUUCCAGCACACUUAGUUUGCUUGUCUUGAAAUUGCCUCCACUUCUUGUGGCUCAUCCGCCUCGAUGGCAUGGACUCGUGGAGCAAACUGCUGCCUAUGUCCCUGGUUUGCUUGCCUUUGAUUUCCCAACGUUGUUUCGGCCUUUCUGCAUUCUUCAAGGAAGUGUUGGAGGCCAUACAUGCGAAUUGGGAACACCAAAGCUGCCAAAACCGGUUUCAAGUUACCUUUCAUCAUCUCCACCAGCAUGUUUUCGCCCAUUGGCUCUCGUUGCUGGUGUCGCAAACGCAGCAUCGAAUUAUAGAAAUCUUCGAAAGGCUCCUGUGGACCUUGUCUUCUAUCCAUCAUACGCCGCUGCACGUCGAAAUCACUCUCAAAUUUCCUGAACUGAGACAGGAAUGCCUCUUUUAGCGCCUCAAAGCUAUGAACUCGCCCCAAUCGUUGCGGGAACUUUACUAGCGACUCGUCUUCAUCGCAUUCAUGGUCUGCUUUCAAUUGGUCCAAUCUAAAUAUGAAAUCUUCAGCUGUAAUUGAUUUGGAUGUGCCAUCAAAUGUCAGCUUCCAUUUUUCCAUGUCCACUUUUCGAAUAUGGCUUCUUGACGCAGUAGAAAGAUAUGGGUAUGGUACUGGUGCAGCACCUGAUUGUGGUGGCAGUCGCCAUGUCUGCUCAUUCCCGUUGUGGUACUGUCUGGGCUGUCUGUGGCGGUUUGCGCGGUUAUACUGCCAAAAUUUGGGGUCUCUGGAGAUGCCUCGUUUAUUGCUGAGAUUGACGCACCAACGACUGACUGUGCUGGGCUUGAAACUGCCGAUGACACUAUAUUAGCGGGCACUAUCAUUGUUGCGGUUGUGCUCGCUCCUGCUGUGGUCGUUGUGGUUGUUAGCAUCGUUGUUGUCGUGUUUGUUGUUGCUGUUGGUGCCAUGUUAGAACAUAUGGGCUAUUGAAUCUAAAACUAUUUUAUAUUAAUGCAUUCUUCUCUCCCUAGAAACGUCGCAAACGACCAUCGGAACUUGAAUUCCGUUAAGCCGUGACUUACGCCUUCUUCAUGGAUUGGAAAAAUACACUGCUACAAUAGUAUCCAUGUAAGUUUCACGGAUUCCUCCAUGAGACUCACGGUUUCAGCUUCCAUUAACCCAUCACCGGGGCUUACAUGAGCGGAAAAUAUGAAACAAACAUGGAACGAUUGAAACUAUAAUGACGUGGUAAGCCUGAUCUCUCAGGCCCCAUUUUGCGGGCGCCAUUUUUUGUGUCACAUACCCCCAUAGGAGGUCGCUCCACCUUUUCUCUGGAGUGGCAAUUGAUGCUGGCAGGCGCUGGCUGCUGGCGGUUGAGCUCCGGCUGUGGCUCAGUGGAUGGGGCGCGGUUCUUUGCCAACACCUAUUGCCAAAAAGGAGGGACAAAAAAAAACUAAAAUUAAGCAGCUUUUGGAUGGACAAAUACAGCGGGUUCCUGGUUCUAAUGGCGACUGUUCCGGAUAAAUACAAUGGAGUCCCCGGGUAUUGUGGUCCUGGUGGCAGCCUCUGCGCCCAAUAGGGUCCCUUUUAGGUUCUCGUUUGUCCGUCCGUCCGUCUAGUCUUUGGGGUUUUCUGAUGUGCUGCUUUCUCAGCACCGUAAGGUCAACAUUGGCUGAUGGGCAAGGAUAUAUCCUCUACUAUCCACUACCUAUCCUAACUAUGAGCUCAUGUUUAGGUUACUGUAUCGAACCCAACCAAAGGAAAAAACUUUUUUAACAAAAUAAAUCUGUCGAGAGUCAACGGUCUGUAUGCCUGUCGGUUUAUGGUCGGAGAAACUUUUUGGACUACCUUAUGGACACUGGGUGGCAACAUAUGGUGGUAACGCAGGGUUGUAUUCCCUAGUUGCCAUAAAAAAACGCAACUGUUCAAAACCAGAUGUCGCUCUACUCCAAUCAGACAUAGGGUGACACGCUACAAAUUUAAUAAAAUGUUACAAAACGAAAGGCAUUUAACAACAUGUACAUCUGUAGGGUAUAGCCGAUUGUACCCAGGCUUCUCGUCUGCCAUGGAAUUCACCGCCAAUGGUAUCUCGUCCCACCUGGACGCUUACUCUCUGUCUGUCUAUGUCCGUCCAAAGCUCGUAAUGUUACAGGCCAUUUUAUACGCCAAUUUCCAAUGGCCAAUUUCCUACAUGGCUAGAUCGAGCUCUUUCUAUUGGGGAAGGGCAAGGACCGUAAAAGAGUUGGAAGCGGUCCAAACAAAAACAAAAAACAUAAUUCUGAUACAAUAAAGCAAAUGCCUACCUUUACCAAAUUGAAAAAAAUGCUUUUCUCUUCUAUUUUUUUUCCAGAUAUAUUAGUCCGUCCGUCCGUCCAAGGUUUGUGUCCUGUGUAAAGUAUUGGGUCGUAAGCAAUCACCUGGGACACUGCGAGCUGCAAGUGUCUUUUGAAGAAUCCCACGCUGGAGCAAAGGAGUGUAAAAACAGGACCAGGUAUAAUGCGAGAUGGACUCUCAGAUCGGUAGAUGAUGAUGGCACCAGCUUGGUACCGGUAGAUGGACCCUCAGUUGAUCCGUAUGUGUCUGUCUGUUUAUUGUCUUUUUCUCUCGGUGGUGUUAUAUGUAAAAAUAUACAUAUGCAUGUAUUUAGGUUUUCUUGCAAUAGAGCCAGCACAAUCGGCCUCACUAUUGGGACACUGCCCCCACUUUAAACCUACGCUAAAGCUAGUUAAAAAAGAUAUAGGCUGAAACAAAAGGAAAAUAAGGAAGUCAAGUCUGGAAUCCGUUUGUUCGAAGUUAAUGGUAAUUCAACCGUCCGCAUAGGGCUUUACAUGGGGCAUGUGGGUCUGAGCAUGCCAGUUUGCUGCGUUUCCCACAUUGAUUGAAGUGGUGAUGGUGGCUGGACGUGGCCGAAAAGAUACGUUUAUAUUUGUAGUUCAAAUCUUGCUUGUAAUUUUGAGGUUUUGUUUAGUUUGUAAGUAUACGGUUUAUUUAGCUUGUAAGUUUUUGGUUUAUUUAGCUUGCAAGUUUAUGGUUUAUUUAGCUUGUAAGUGUUUGUGUAGUUUAUUUUAUUUUGCAGGUUAUUUAGCAAGUAAGUUCAUUUAGCUC